rnacentral:rRNA from 1 species
UACGUGCCAGCAGCCGCGGUAAGUACGUAGGGUUGCGAGCGUUGUCAGUAAAUAUUGGGUCGUAAAGAUGCUUCGUAGGCGGCCUUGAUCAUCGUCCGUUUGUGAAAAGCCCGGGGCUUAACCCCCGGGUUCUGCUGUCGAUACGGGCCGGCUAGAGUUCGGUAGGGGAGAUCGGAAUUUCUUGGUGUAGCGGUGAAAUGCGCAGAUAUCAGGAGGAACACCGGUGGCGAAGGCGGAUCUCUGGGCCGAUACUGACGCUGAGGAGCGAUAGCGUGGGGAGCGCACAGGAUUAGAUACCCUGGUUGUCCACGCCGUAAACGGUGGGAACUAGGUGUGGGCGACAUUCCACGUUGUCCGUGCCGCAGCUAACGCAUUAAGUUCCCCGCCUGGGGAGUACGGCCGCAAGGCUAAAACUCAAAGGAAUUGACGGGGGC